rnacentral:rRNA from 1 species
CCUACGGGAGGCAGCAGUGGGGAAUAUUGGGCAAUGGGCGCAAGCCUGACCCAGCAACGCCGCGUGAAGGAAGAAGGCUUUCGGGUUGUAAACUUCUUUUAAGAGGGAAGAGCAGAAGACGGUACCUCAUGAAUAAGCCACGGCUAACUACGUGCCAGCAGCCGCGGUAAUACGUAGGUGGCGAGCGUUAUCCGGAUUUACUGGGUGUAAAGGGCGUGUAGGCGGGCUUGCAAGUCAGAUGUGAAAACUAUGGGCUCAACCCAUAGCCUGCAUUUGAAACUGUAGGACUUGAGUGAUGGAGAGGCAGGCGGAAUUCCGUGUGUAGCGGUGAAAUGCGUAGAUAUACGGAGGAACACCAGUGGCGAAGGCGGCCUGCUGGACAUUAACUGACGCUGAGGCGCGAAAGCGUGGGGAGCAAACAGGAUUAGAUACCCUAGUAGUC